rnacentral:rRNA from 1 species
CAAUAGCGUAUAUUAAAGUUGUUGCAGUUAGAACGCUCGUAGUCGGAUUUCGGGGCGGGCCGACCGGUCUGCCGAUGGGUAUGCACUGGCCGGCGCGUCCUUCUUCUCGGAGACCGUUCCUACUCUUAACUGAGCGGGAGCGGGAGACGGGACUUUUACUUUGAAAAAAUCAGAGUGUUUCAAGCAGGCAGCUCGCUCUUGCAUGGAUUAGCAUGGGAUAAUGAAAUAGGACUUUGGUGCUAUUUUGUUGGUUUCGAACACCGAAGUAAUGAUGAGAAGGGACAGUCAGGGGCACUCGUAUUCCGCCGAGGGAGGUGAAAUUCUCAGACCAGCGGAAGACGAACCACUGCGAAAGCAUUUGCCAGGGAUGUUUUCACUG